AUUGAACGCUGGCGGCAUGCUUUACACAUGCAAGUCGAACGGCAGCAUGGGUGCUUGCACCUGAUGGCGAGUGGCGAACGGGUGAGUAAUAUAUCGGAACAUGUCCGGAGGUGGGGGAUAACGUAGCGAAAGUUACGCUAAUACCGCAUAUGCCCUGAGGGGGAAAGGAGGGGAUCGUAAGACCUUUCGCUUUCGGAGUGGCCGAUAUCAGAUUAGCUAGUUGGUGAGGUAAAGGCUCACCAAGGCAACGAUCUGUAGCGGGUCUGAGAGGAUGCUCCGCAACACUGGGACUGAGACACGGCCCAGACUCCUACGGGAGGCAGCAGUGGGGAAUUUUGGACAAUGGGCGCAAGCCUGAUCCAGCCAUGCCGCGUGAGUGAAGAAGGCCUUCGGGUUGUAAAGCUCUUUCAGCCGGAAAGAAAUCAUGCUUACUAAUACUAAGUGUGGAUGACGGUACCGGAAGAAGAAGCACCGGCUAACUACGUGCCAGCCGCCGCAGUAA
rnacentral:rRNA from 1 species